ACUCUUUUUCAAGCUCUGUCAGUUGUUUUGUUGUAAAAUUUGUGCGCACAGUGUUUGGCUGCCCACCAAAUCCAUACUCUCCAGCUUUACCUAAAGAGAGAAGAUAAACAGAUAAAUAAGACAUAAAACAACUCGGCAUGGGAUUUUUUCUCCAGCCACUCACCUGUUUUUGGCGGGUUCCGUUUAACUUUCAUCCAGUCGAAUGUCUGCCCCAUAGACGCGCCAUCUGACAGAGGUGAGCAGCAAGCAUCGUGAUGGGCCACAUGCCGAGGGGAUAGCGGAUUUGAGCAAUCCCCCACAAAGGCAUUACUGGAGGAGAGGAGGCUGUCAUAACAAUGGACUGCUCGCACUUUGCUCAAAAUGCAAGACUGCCGGAAGUGACGGUGUACCACUAACACAUGCAGCAGUUUUAGCCCGUUUCUGUCAUUUAUUUGCCAAA